GACGAACGCUGGCGGCGUGCUUAACACAUGCAAGUCGAACGGAAAGACCCUGCUUUUGUGGGGUGCUCGAUUGGCGAACGGGUGAGUAACACGUGAGUAACCUGCCCUUGACUUUGGGAUAACUUCAGGAAACUGGGGCUAAUACCGGAUAGGAGCUCCUGCUGCAUGGUGGGGGUUGGAAAGUUUCGGCGGUUGGGGAUGGACUCGCGGCUUAUCAGCUUGUUGGUGGGGUAGUGGCUUACCAAGGCUUUGACGGGUAGCCGGCCUGAGAGGGUGACCGGCCACAUUGGGACUGCGAUACGGCCCAGACUCCUACGGGAGGCAGCAGUGGGGAAUAUUGCACAAUGGGCGGAAGCCUGAUGCAGCAACGCCGCGUGCGGGAUGACGGCCUUCGGGUUGUAAACCGCUUUCGCCUGUGACGAAGCGUGAGUGACGGUAAUGGGUAAAGAAGCACCGGCUAACUACGUG
rnacentral:rRNA from 1 species